rnacentral:rRNA from 1 species
GACGAACGCUGGCGGCGUGCUUAUCACAUGCAAGUCGAACGGAAAGGCCCUGCUUUUGUGGGGUGCCCGAGUGGCGAACGGGUGAGUAACACGUGAGUAACCUGCCCUUGACUUUGGGAUAACUUCAGGAAACUGGGGCUAAUACCGGAUAGGAGCUCCUGCUGCAUGGGGGGGGUUGGAAAGUUUCGGCGGUUGGGGGUGGACUCGCGGCUUAUCAGCUUGUUGGUGGAGUAGUGGCUUACCAAGGCUUUGACGGGUAGCCGGCCUGAGAGGGUGACCGGCCACCUUGGGACUGAGGUACGGCCCAGACUCCUACGGGAGGCAGCGGUGGGGAAUAUUGCACAAUGGGCGGGAGCCUGAUGCGGCAACGCCGCGUGCGGGAUGACGGCCUUCGGGUUGUAAACCGCUUUCGCCUGUGACGAAGCGUGAGUGACGGUAAUGGGUAAAGAAGCACCGGCUAACUACGUG